rnacentral:lncRNA from 13 species
AGACCGUGGAAGACCCCACGCCAACUUUACAAGGGGACAACCAGGACACACUGUCCGGUGGCGGGACAUAUGACGUCACCACCAAAGAUCCCUUCAAGGACAUGACGGAGAGAGUGUUAACCUUCGAGUAUGAGGACACCACCCACUCACAGGUCAUGGAUGAGGAGGAAGGUGUCCUGGGCCCGGGCGCCAUCACAGCUAUUGUCAUCGCUGUCUUCCUGGGGGCUUCAGUCCUCCUCGCCCUCAUUGUCAUCACACUCAGGAAGUUCACCGCUUCCUAGAGCUAAUACUUCCUCUUCCUCCCUUUCAAUCUCUCACACUUUUCUUACCUCCACUUCUCUCUCUCUCAUUCAUCUAUCUUCAUGGUCUUUCUUGCCCAUUCUCUCACUUUUGCUCAGUUUCUCUUAUACCCACACAUAUUGUGAAAGUGACAACCCUUCUAUAACCCCUGGACGCUCUAAUAUAGUGGCAGGUCCCUUUGGCCUUGAAGCGCAACCGACAAUGAAUUUCCUUCAGACUCUAGCUACUAUAAUCAUAUUGUUUAUGUUGGCACACAUGUCAGCUUGUUACUAAAGGGUCAAUCCUAGCUUCCACUCAAGUCAAAAUUGACUUACAACAGAGACUGGCAGGUUCUUCCAGUGUAUACAGGUAACUGCCAAAAUAAUGGAAACACUUGAGUAAAUGAGAGAGAAAGUAUAUUGAAAGCAGGUGCUUCCACACAGGUGUGGUUCCUGAGUUAUUUCAACAAUUAACAUCCCAUCAUGCUUAGGGUCAUGUAUAAAAAUGCUUAUCAGGCCAUUAUUUUGGCUACCAUGACUAUAGGAUGACAAUGCCCCCAUCCACAGGGCACAAAUGGUCACUGAGUGGUUUGAUGAGCAAACGAUGUAAACCAAAUGCAAUGGCCGUCUGUCACCAGAUGGGAUAUUCUGGAGUGGUGUUUGUGACAGCAUUUUCCACCACCAUCAACAAAACACCAAAUUAUGGAAAUUCUCAUGGAAGAAUGGCAUUGCAUCUCUCCAAUAGAGUUCCAGACACUUGUGGAAUCUGGUGCAUUAAAGCUGUUCUGGCGCAUGGUGGCCCGAUGCCCCCUAUUAACACUUUACGUUGGUGUUUCCUUUAUUUUGGCAGUUACAAUCAGAUCCGCUUUAGCCAACAUCCGCUUAGCGGAUAAUGCCAGAGGUGAACUGCAUUAUAGCUGUCAAAUCUAGUGGCUCCAGGCAUUACACCAAAAGCAGACAUCUCCCUUGGUCACAUUAAGAGAAAUCCAAUGCCUGUCAAGAUUUCUUAAAGAUUUUUGAACAAUGUAUCUGUUAUACUAAUCUGUAAUGAGCCUAUGAG